CCUACGGGAGGCAGCAGUGGGGAAUUUUGGACAAUGGGGGCAACCCUGAUCCAGCAAUGCCGCGUGAGUGAAGAAGGCCUUCGGGUUGUAAAGCUCUUUUGUCAGGGAAGAAACGGUGCGGGCUAAUAUCCCGUGCUAAUGACGGUACCUGAAGAAUAAGCACCGGCUAACUACGUGCCAGCAGCCGCGGUAAUACGUAGGGUGCAAGCGUUAAUCGGAAUUACUGGGCGUAAAGCGUGCGCAGGCGGUUUUGUAAGACUGUCGUGAAAUCCCCGGGCUCAACCUGGGAAUGGCGAUGGUGACUGCAAGGCUAGAGUUUGGCAGAGGGGGGUAGAAUUCCACGUGUAGCAGUGAAAUGCGUAGAUAUGUGGAGGAACACCGAUGGCGAAGGCAGCCCCCUGGGUCAAACUGACGCUCAUGCACGAAAGCGUGGGGAGCAAACAGGAUUAGAUACCCUGGUAGUCCACGCCCUAAACGAUGUCUACUAGUUGUCGGGUUUUAAUUACUUGGUAACGCAGCUAACGCGUGAAGUACGACCGCCGUCGGGAGGUACGGUCGCGAGAAGUUAAACGUUAAAGUUAAGUUAAGUUAGUACGGUUCGUUGAGACGUUGCCGACGGACGACGACGAGGGAGGAGG
rnacentral:rRNA from 1 species